CAUCGUUCCUCAAAUUUAAACCGAGAAAAGGGGUUGUGGCAUUUAGAGGAAAAAUGCGUGCAUUAUAGCUUAGAGUUACUUUUCAAAAGCGGCCAGAAGUUCCAGAUACAUUUCAUUAAGAAAAAGGAGAAGUAUCGUAAAGAUGCCACAGAUUGCAACGGAAGUGCCAAGCACUAAAUGGGCUAUAUAGUGCAACGCUUUGGACUAUAAGAUAGAUUUUAUGCACUACAGGUGAACUACAGGUGAAGUCACUCAAUCCAGUCCCAUAGGCUUGUUGGGGGACCAUACCAAGGUGACAGCUAGCUGAAAGAGCUACCCGGAUUCAUAUCGCACUGCGGGAGGGUAAGGCACAUUAACACUGUCGAACAAUAACAGAGUUCGAGAGGAGAACUGGAAUUAACAGAAUUCUGGGGGCCAUCUCUCGAAUGAAGAAUACCUUACCUGUCCUUUCCUCACUGUUCUUGUUCAUAGAAGUGAAAAUGUGUCUGACUCUUGCUAAUGAUGUGUUUUCUGGAAGAGGGUGGGGCUUUAUAGGUGAGCUGUCCAUCCUAAGCUGUAUGGUUGGAGAUCUUAUUCCUACAACAUGAACCCGAGAAGGCUAGAGGGUAAUAUUGACAUAAUUAAACGAGAAAUUAGUAUUAACCAAGCAUAAGAGAUCACUUGAUCUGGAUAAACAGGAAGUGAGAGUAGUAUAGGGAGGGAUGUCUCAGUGGAGUUCUAUGUAAACCAAGUGGUGUCUGACUCCUUGGCAGUUCAGGACUAAGAGUAGCUAUGAUGGAAGACAUAUAUGCAAGUCUGUAGUUCAUGGAAACAAGUUAUAGCUCACAUCAUGUGAGAAGGCUACAUAAAUCUACAUACCCAGCAUGGAAGGAGAUGGAGUUUAGUGAAAGUAAGGGUUUCAGUUGAUAACCUAGGGCAUUCCAGGUAGAAAAGUUAGAGCAGCUGGUUGCUCUAUAGGCAGCUGAAUACAAGCAUUGUCCCUGACAAAGCAGAUACUGACGGUGGAGUUGUCCAGAGCCAAGAGCCGGUGUGGAUAGUUCAGAAAUGGAAUUAUUCACCUAAGGGAACAGCCUGUAUAGUAAAGCUAUUCAUGAAAGCAGGAAAGCCAGAUAACAACAGUUGUGUGGAUUUGCACUAUUUAUAUCCACAUGUUCCUCUGAAAUCUAGGCUUCCUCCCUUCACAGUGACAAGAGGAGAUUGAUACUGUCUGGCCCGGUAUAGUGCUUAUGGGACAGAGAAUAUUACUACUGAUGGGGUGAUGAGUGAUUUGGCAGACUGGUUGAGAUCUGGGGAUUUCAGUAAGAUAAGGAGGCUCAGGGCUCACAUCUGUUGAAUGUGUGGGAGAAUGACAUGAUGGCCGAGUAUUACUGGCUAAUUGAACAGAGGUAUGUGUACUGGUACAUUUUGAGAAUGCCUUUUACAUUCAUUGUGUUGACUAAACGGAAGAAAAUAAGUACUCCGACUGUUUUUUUUUUGAUGAUAGGGUUUGUAUUAAUAACAUUGUGGAUCCAAGGGUGGCAGAUGAGAUCAAAGCUAUAAAUUAGAUCCUGGCAGAAUUAGAGUCAAGUAUUUUUGGUGGUCCACUCUCAAUGAGAAUGUGGAUUGGAUCGAUUAUAUCUGUUAAAAAUCCACAGCGCUUCACCAAUUAUUUUAGAGAUGUAAUGAAUGACUAGGCAGAAUAGAAUAGUCUUGGAUGUUUGCUGGCUGAAGAGGGUGGGGGAGUAUAGGUAAUUUGACUCCGGGAUAUACAGUUAGGAUGGAUCAGUGACCAAGGCCUUGUCUGGUUUACACACCCUAGUUCACGAGUUGGAAAUAAACUCAGGGGUGGAUACUUCUCUGACUAAAUUGGGUUGACAGGGUGUUUGAAAGAUGGAAAAAUGUUAUGAUCACUGUGUUAUGGGCUACCUUCACCUGUGUGACUGUGUUAAGUUUUGUACGGACGUGGUUGAUGGCGUGUAUGUAUGAAAGUUAUCAUUUCCAGGACUCUGGAGAAAUCAAUGACGAUUCAGAUGGAGAGAUAUGGGCAGAUUCCAGGUUCUGACCCGUGGAAGACUGAAUGCCUGACUACAGGACAAGUGGACAAAUCUGGAUCUUUCAUCAUUGGGGAAUUUAUGUUUGAUGAGACUAGUGUUGAGGAUAGAAUUAGAUUGUACUUUGUUUCAAUAUUAAACUGUUUUUUAAUAAAGAUUGUAACAGAAAAUCCUUGAUAAGAAGAGUUAUAAUUCUGAUGUAGGUUUAAGGGUUAAAUUAAGGUAAAGGUUAGAUUUGAUUAAUGAUGGGUGAAGAGUCGGAUAAACAUUUAUAAUAAUGUUGGUUCAUAUUUUUAUUUUUGAUAAAAUUAAUGUAGAUUUGAAUGUAUAAUAUUUGAUCAAAGGGAGGAUUGUUAGAGGAAAUUAUGGUUGAAAUGACUAAUUAUGUAUACAUUCCAAUCAGAACUGACUAGUCCAAAUACUAUAAUGUACUGUACAUAUGAAUUUUCUCUCUUGCUCCCAUUCCCAAUUGUAUAUAAUGUAGUCAGGAGUUUAGUAACAAUGAAGGUCUGUUCCUUAGUUCAUUCAUUUGUACAAUCUCCAGGUGGCAGGAACGGCCUGUCUAGAAUGCUGAUUUAUACUGACUGACCUUGACUUCAGGCGUAGAGCGAAGGCUCGAGAGCUAGAGGGC
ensembl:lncRNA